rnacentral:lncRNA from 1 species
CUUGCAACUCAUUUUAAAAAAUGGUGAUGCUGGAAUAUGUUUUGCAAGCCCAUACAUACAUAAGUAUUUUUUUUUUCUGUACUAUAGAGCAUGUUGGGAUAACACCUAAACACAGAUUACAGAAGAGAAUUGCUGAAUAGAUCUGAAAGAUCUAAACCUAAAGGGAAGAAAAUACAGGACUUUAAGGUAAAUUGGUCUUAAGUGAUUUCCACCUAAAUACUUUUAUGGACAGAUUUCUGAGAUGGUGGCCACCAUGUGAGAAGGCUUGAAGUCACGUCAACCUUUUUUAACUGUGUAUGUGUCUAGUCUUGGUGAGAGCAAGUAUUCAAUUGGGGCACAGACUGUUUUGUGGAGCACCCUGUUUAACAGCGUUCACUCUUUUUUUUUGUUGGACACAAGUUGCUGAAAUGUGUCUACAAAAUGCAUAUGUAAGAAAUGAAUAA